rnacentral:lncRNA from 1 species
GCUCCACGUCCCUGCCCCUAUGCGAAGCCUGUAUGAAGAGGUCCUUCACGGAAUAAAGCGAUGCUUGAGAUGAAACCUAUGCAGAUUACAGCUUGUUGGGACAUGCCCUUCCCUCUACCAGGAACUCUACAGGAGAGAAAAAGAGAAGGACUCACUGAACUUCUACAUAGACUCUAAAUGACCAAAAUGAGACUAUCCAGAAUUCAAGAAUAUAGAUGAGCUCUACUUC